AUCGGGGUAGCCAGAUGGUAAGGCACUGUGUUUCGGCCACAUAGAUUACAGGUCCGAGUCUUGUACGCGUUU